rnacentral:other from 1 species
AAAUUCCUGAAGUGUUCGAGAACUUACCAUAUUUGAACCUACACAACUGACUCGGGAUUCCUAUAUGCAAAAGCUAUGUCAGGCCCCAAGAUAAUUCCCUUUGGGCGGGGGAAGGCAGAUGCUUUGGCUGCGGUUACCCACCUGGCUUAGGCUAGGUGUCAAGCGGUAAGGACGGCACUUUGGGAUAUAU